rnacentral:rRNA from 1 species
GAAAUCCCUCGGGAUGUAAACUUCGCAAGAACGGGAAGAAUAAGUAGGGGACAAUACCCCCUAUGAUGACGGUACCGUUUGUAAGCUCCGGCUAACUCCGUGCCAGCAGCCGCGGUAAUACGGGGGGAGCAAGCGUUGUUCGGAUUUACUGGGCGUAAAGGGCGCGUAGGCGGCCAGCACAAGUCAGUUGUGAAAUCUCCGAGCUUAACUCGGAAAGGUCAACUGAUACUGUGCGGCUAGAGUGCGGAAGGGGCAACUGGAAUUCUUGGUGUAGCGGUGAAAUGCGUAGAUAUCAAGAGGAACACCUGCGGCGAAGGCGGGUUGCUGGGCCGACACUGACGCUGAGGCGCGAAAGCUAGGGGAGCGAACGGGAUUAGAUACCCCGGUAGUCCUAGCCUUAAACGAUGAAUGCUUGGUGUCUGGGGUUAUANAGUCCCCGGGUGCCGUCGCUAACGCUUUAAGCAUUCCGCCUGGGGAGUACGGUCGCAAGACUGAAACUCAAA